UCAGCGCAAAGAGGAGGAGAACUGAGGUGAUCCCUCCAGCCAAUCAGCGGGCUGCCUGGCCUCAGCCGAACACAGAGAGCCGGAAAGGGGCGGGGCCAGCGCCUGUUAGGGAAAUGCUCGCUCCCGCGUUUGGAAUGCACUUUGCAUGAGUGUCGCGGGCACGUGGCAGGGGCAUCCUGCAGCACAUUUUGCUCAUUGAAUAUAUUUCAUCAAUUCAACCUAGUUUGUGGCAGCCACAAAAAUGAAGUUCCUGGAGUAUAACAACUACUUUCAAUGCUUGAGCUAUGGAAGUUCUUGGAGAGAACAAAAGAGAAAAACAAAGAGAGACAGAAUUUGGAGUGUACUCUUGCUUCAUGAGCUGCCAAGGAAAAUUUUCCAUAAAAGGACAUUAUGUGAGUUGAUGCAACUGAUCACAUUGUACAUAUGUUGUUCUGAUUUAAAAAGAGUAAACUGCUUAUUUUUCAUUGUU